CCUACGGGAGACAGCAGUGAGGAAUAUUGGUCAAUGGACGAGAGUCUGAACCAGCCAAGUAGCGUGAAGGAUGACUGCCCUCUGGGUUGUAAACUUCUUUUAUAUGGGAAUAAAAUGUUCCACGUGUGGGAUUUUGUAUGUACCAUAUGAAUAAGGAUCGGCUAACUCCGUGCCAGCAGCCGCGGUAAUACGGAGGAUCCGAGCGUUAACCGGAUUUAUUGGGUUUAAAGGGAAUGUAGGUUGGUUGUUAAGUCAGUUGUGAAAGUUUGCGGCUCAACCGUAAAAUUGCAGUUGAAACUGGCAGUCUUGAGUACAGUAGAGGUGGGCGGAAUUCGUGGUGUAGCGGUGAAAUGCUUAGAUAUCACGAAGAACUCCGAUUGCGAAGGCAGUUCACUGGACUGCAACUGACACUGAGGCUCGAAAGUGUGGGUAUCAAACAGGAUUAGAUACCCCUGUAGUC
rnacentral:rRNA from 1 species